AUGCACGCUGGCGGCGUGCCUAAUACAUGCAAGUCGAGCGAACGGACGAGAAGCUUGCUUCUCUGAUGUUAGCGGCGGACGGGUGAGUAACACGUGGAUAACCUACCUAUAAGACUGGGAUAACUUCGGGAAACCGGAGCUAAUACCGGAUAAUAUUUUGAACCGCAUGGUUCAAAAGUGAAAGACGGUCUUGCUGUCACUUAUAGAUGGAUCCGCGCUGCAUUAGCUAGUUGGUAAGGUAACGGCUUACCAAGGCAACGAUGCAUAGCCGACCUGUGAGGGUGAUCGGCCACACUGGAACUGAGACACGGUCCAGACUCCUACGGGAGGCAGCAGUAGGGAAUCUUCCGAGAUGGGCGAAAGCCUGACGGAGCAACGCCGCGUGAGUGAUGAAGGUCUUCGGAUCGUAAAACUCUGUUAUUAGGGAAGAACAUAUGUGUAAGUAACUGUGCACAUCUUGACGGUACCUAAUCAGAAAGCCACGGCUAACUACGUG
rnacentral:rRNA from 1 species